AUCGCUUCUUGGCCUUUUGGCUAAGAUCAAGUGUAGUAUCUGUUCUUAUCAUGUGGACAUAUACGUGUAGAUAUUUCGGGACUGUUUUAGUCCAUUUGGUUGAUAUAUCCAUGUUUGCAUCAGUAACACUCU
rnacentral:snRNA from 1 species